UGAAUACGAGAUGCUACGGCGUCGAAGCAGUCUAUGUCAUACUUCCAAGAAAAGCUUGCACUGUCAUAAACAAAUAAUGCCUGUACCAUAACCGACACAGGUGGGUAGGUAGAGUAUACUAAGGGGCGCGAGAUAACUCUCUCUAAGGAACUCGGCAAAAUGACUCCGUAACUUCGGGAGAAGGAGUGCCUUAUUUAUAAGGUUGCAAUAACAAGAUCCAAGCAACUGUUUACCAAAAACACAGGUCUCCGCUAAGUCGUAAGACGAUGUAUGGGGGCUGACGCCUGCCCAGUGCCAGAAGGUUAAAGAAGUUGGUUAGCAUCCGCGAAGCUGAUAACUGAAGCCCUGGUGAACGGCGGCCGUAACAAUAACGGUCCUAAGGUAGCGAAAUUCCUUGUCGGGUAAGUUCCGACCCGCACGAAAGGCGUAAUGAUUUGGAUACUGUCUCGGAGAGGGGCUCGGUGAAAUAGACUUGUCUGUGAAGAUGCGGACUACCUGCACCAGGACAGAAAGACCCUAUGAAGCUUUACUGUAACCUGAAAUUGAAAUUGGACUUUACUUGCGCAGUAUAGGUGGGAGGCGUUGAGAAUAUUCUUGCGGGAUUAUUGGAGCCAUCAGUGAGAUACCACUCUUGUAAUGUUAGAUUUCUAACUUUGUAUCAUUAUCUGGUCAAAGAACAGUUUCAGGCGGGCAGUUUGACUGGGGCGGUCGCCUCCUAAACGGUAACGGAGGCGCACAAAGGUUUCCUCUGAACGGGUAGAAAUCGUAUCUAGAGUGUAAAGGCAUAAGGAAGCUUGACUGUGAGACCUACAAGUCGAGCAGGGACGAAAGUCGGUCUUAGUGAUCUGACGGUGCUGAGUGGAAAGGCCGUCACUCAACGGAUAAAAGUUACUCUAGGAUAACAGGCUGAUCUCCCCCAAGAGUUCACAUCGACGGGGAGGUUUGGCACCUCGAUGUCGGCUCAUCGCAUCCUGGGGCGGUAGUACGUCCCAAGGGUUGGGCUGUUCGCCCAUGAAAGCGGUACGCGAGCUGGGUUCAGAACGUCGUGAGACAGUUCGGUCCAUAUCCGGUGUAGGCGUUAGAAUAUUGAGAGGAGCCUUCUUUAGUACGAGAGGACCGAGAAGGACAUACCUCUGGUGUACCAGUUAUCGUGCCAACGGUAAACGCUGGGUAGCUAUGUGUGGAGUGGAUAACCGCUGAAAGCAUCUAAGUGGGAAGCCCACCUCAAGAUAAGUGCUCUCACAGGGUUAACCUGGUAAGGUCACGGGAAGACCACCCGUUAAUAGGCACUAGGUGGAAGUCCAGUAAUGGAUGGGGCCAAGGUGUACUAACAGACCGAGGGCCUGAC
rnacentral:rRNA from 1 species